GGGGCUGACAUGGUUUCGACUGCGUUCAUUACGCCAGGGGAAGCGUGCCGGUGCAGGCUAGAGACCACCGUAAGCGUCGUAGCAAAUUUAUAAGCGCCGAGAACACUCAGCGCGACUACGCCCUCGCUGCCUAAUUUGUAGCGACCGCGUGUCUGUCAGCCCAGGGUUGUCCCUGCUCUGGUGUCUGGCAUCGACUAAGGGACUUGCCGUUGCAUCGCGUUAGCGGGGUGCAACGGGACUCUUACCGCUAACUGGGCUCAUCAUCCGGAAGUGUUCGUCCUAGCCGGAGAGUCGAGUAAAGAUCCAAGCGCGAACUGCGCACGGAGAAGCCCUGGCAAGGUGACGUAGGACCCGGGUUCAAUUCCCGGCAGCUCCAC
rnacentral:tmRNA from 1 species